ensembl:lncRNA
GCAGUACAUUCACUUGUUCAGGAUUUUGGGGGGCAGCAGGCUGCUGUUGCAACUGAAUAUUUGGGAUAAUUGGAUAUAUAAAUCCAUAUAAAAAUGCACACAUGUACAUAUAGACAGAGUACCCUGACCUUGGGAAAAGGCUCUAAUCUAGUGUCUUUAUAGAGAUGAGGAAGCAGCUUUGACAAGUGGAAGUUAAGCCCUGGAUGGUCCUGGACUAUCUGGCCAUUGUUUAAUCUUCUUAACAUGGUCAGCCUGAUGAGUAAUUCUGAGCCUUCACCAAGGUCUAAUGUGACACCAUCUGUAACGCGUUUCUGAAAUCUUGUUAGACCAUAUGUUUGGGAACUGCUGAGUCACGGCCUGAACCACUGAUUGAGCACCUGAAAGAGGAGACCCAGUCAGCCCUGAGUGCACAGGUGGAGGCAAUUCAUCUGCGAGACCAGUGGAGCCAGACCUCAUGUAAGGGCUUAUUGCCCGAGGAACAAUCUUUUGCUGGAGAUUUCUCCUAUGUGGAGUUUUUCUGCGAGCUAAGAUCUUUGGAGAUGGCAGCUGGACUGUAUGUAUCAUAUGGACGACCGCUUGUGGGUAACUUCAGACUGCAGUUUUGUCUACGGGGAAAAAAUCAGAUGAGACAUUCUGAGGAAAACCCUGAAGCAGGAAAAAAUGAGCCAUAUGGAAACUUUGCUCCAGUUUGCCCUAAACUCUGGUGAUGUUCUGUGAAGAGGAGGAUGAAGAAUGGAGAAAAUUGUUUUGACUGGUCAGCAACCUUAUUCCUUCGAUCAUUUGUAUGCAAAAGUUUGUGUCCUUAAGCCAAACGUGUUAUAAGUUUUGGUGUUGCCGAAUCCUGGAUCCUUCAGAUUUCAGGAAAGUUGAUGGAGGUUGAGGAAAAUUGAAGAAAGAAAUACUGUCUGGGAACCAGUUUCAUUUAAUUUUCUCUUUUCAUUCUUGUAACUGCCCAAGUGGAAGCAUUUGCUGCUCUGGGAAGGAAAGGAUUUCCCCAUGGAAGACAGCUUUUUGGCAAGUCAAUAAGUUUCUAACCUGCCAAAUAGUUGUGGUGGCGUUGUCCCAGGAAAGCAUUCAGUACUUCUGUUUUGGAGAACUGAAAACAGAACUCAAAUACAGUACAAAGUUAAGACAAGAACCUUUUGCAGCUUCAACAACAUCUCUUCAGCUAAGUACCUACUUAAUUGAAAAACAGGAUUUGUUACUACCUGGUAUCUUUUAUCCCUGCAGAAGAGUAAGCUGGAUGUACCACAGGGCAGCAUGCAGAGUGCAGUGUGUGGGGGAAGAAAAACCACUCUACCCAAACCUUUCUCUAUGCAGGCUGAGAAAGUGAGCUACAGAUGGAUUCCAGAGGCAUCGUUUCUCAUGGAUCAUUCUUCACUGCUAUUCCUUUAGUCUUAGGAGCACUUUAGCAGCAGGUUUGACAAACAGCUCAUCUCCUGCAUUAUGUUGGGCCAAAACCUGUGAAGGUUUAAAGCUUGAACUUGUGAACUCAGUGACUGGUGCUAUGGUCUGCAGUAUUGCUUUAGUGAGGAUCCUUCCUUCACAUCAUCCAUCGCAGACAGGCACUGAGGUGAGAAAGAGAAUAACAAAUUAUAGAGUCGUGCAACGCACCAAGACCUGUAGAAGAGAAGAUUUGCUAAACUGGAACAGCUUAACUAAGUGAUGUUUGGACCUGAUACAGCGUGGUAAUCAUUGAGUUUCAAGGGAGCCUACUGCUUUUGCCAGCCCUGCAGAUUCACCCCAUCCGCACUGCUAAAUGAAAAAGUUUUUGCGUUUCUGGUGUCUGUGUGGAGGACUCAGCAAGCAAACAGCGUGUCCUGGCAGGCAACAUCUGUGCUCUGCACCUGCUGGAAGAUAGUCAGUGCCAAGUGGUGGAAAGACAAUGACAUCUGAAUUUCUGCAAUGCGUGAUACAUGCAUAUCCUAAACAUAUGGAAAUAUCUGUGACUGCAGAUGACUACCUCCAGCUCCUUUUGAAAAGGAACGAAAUUAGUGGAACUUUCUAUGCCCUUUAAGGAGAGAUGUCAGAAAAAAAAGAUAAGUUUUGUGGGGGUUUUUCUGUUGUUUGGUUGGUUUGGGUUUCCUUGUUGGUUUGUUUUUAAAUGCAGAGUUAAUAGUUUUGUAGUCUUCAAAGUCUGUGUUGUCUAAAACACUGGUCAAAGUGGAUCAGUGAGACUCCACAGGAAGACUUGCUUGUUUUGUGCAAAGCUAAAUUUUAUCCCUUUCAUCUACGAAGAGAACUGUCCUUGCUGACACGUGAAGGGCCUUGUACAUCAUCUUCUGUGCCAAAGCUGCAAGAGGACUGUGGCUAUCACACUUAAUCUGUCUAUCAUAAUGUUUUGUAUUUCCUGACUUUGUUCAUCUCUGUUUACUUCUCAUCUGCAGCCUGGUUUCAAAUUUUUGUGACACUGAGUAAAUCCAGAAGAAGGUUUUUUUCCUGUACUGUUAAUAGUCUGUGCAGACUAUUCAAAUCCUUUUAGCACACUUUGUGAAGCUUUUUAAUAAAUAAUUUUUUUCAUUAAAAAAUUUAUAUCUUUCCUCCAGGCAAGAAAGAAGAUCUAUUCAAGAUCUUUCAGUAGUUGUUGGUUUGUUGUUGUCUGUUUGUUUGGAAACAUUUAUUUAUUCAAAGUGUUUUAUUUCAAGUACAUGUUAGCAAUCUCCACAGAUUAUUAACAGUGAAUCCGUUCCUCAAAAGGUAACAGUAAUUUAGUGAUAAUCAUUAGACCAGAAAUAUUCUUCUUUGUACUGAAAAAUUAAG